UACGUAGAAGACUAGUGUUAUUCAUCUUUAGUAGGUUUAAAGGGUGCGUAGGCGGUUUUAUAAGUCAGUGGUGAAAUACGGCAGCUCAACUGUCGAGGUGCCAUUGAUACUGUAGGACUUGAGUACAGACGAGGUAGGCGGAAUUGACGGUGUAGCGGUGAAAUGCUUAGAUAUCGUCAAGAACACCGAUAGCGAAGGCAGCUUACUAGGCUGUAACUGACGCUGAGGCACGAAAGUGUGGGGAUCAAACAGG
rnacentral:rRNA from 1 species